CCUGGGAACGUAUAUAAGGGUGAGUCGGUGGUGAAGGGAAGCCCAGAGAAGGUAUGGGAGUGUCUGAAGCCAGUGCCAAAUGGACUGCGGGUGAAAUGGGACAACAAUGUCAAGAAGUUUGAGCUGGUUGAGCAAGUCACUGAGAACGUCACUGUCUGCAGAACAGUCACUCCAUCAGCAGCCAUGGGCA